GUCCCACCUCGGUGGUAGAGCGGUCGGUCUUUAACUGACUGGUUGUAGGUUCAAAUCCUACUUGAGGUC
rnacentral:tRNA from 1 species